UCCCUAAAAUGAUAAAAGAAACCAGCAGCUAGCGCCGCCGCCGCUCGCCGCCUCGGCACCAGCAGUCGAUCUCCCGCCAUUGUUUGGCCCAGCCAUAGCCCCCGUCGUCGCUCGCCCCCUCUCCCAUAGAUCACACGCCGUCGCGCUCCCCCAGCCCGAUCUGACGCCGCCGCAACUCGCCCCUAGCCCGAACUCCGGCGUCGCCCGACUCCGAUCCCCCGCCGGCCCUCCGGCCGUAGCUCCACCGCCGCUCGACGCCGAUCUCCUCCCUAUAGCGCAAGCUCCUCCGCCACCUGACGCCGGUCUGCCCCAGGCCAAGCUCCCCGAUCCCCUGAAGCCGGUUGCAGCCCGACACCGCUCGCCCAUCGCCAGGCUCCGCCACCCGCAGAAUACUCUACCCGGACGACUCCUCUCUCGCUUUGCUGCCGACCAUGGCAACGACCUCGCCGACACACCUCUGCUACUAGGAGCUUGUCCGCAGAUUUCUAGAAGGAACCACACGUUUCACAAGAACAUCUAGGAACCCUGAUCCUUCAGCUAAUACAAAGGGCAUGUACAUGUUUGAUAGUGUUGGUGAGCCAAUUGGAAAGGCUGUCACUGUAGGCCAGUUGGACGAUCAGCUUCUAGUUCAAGCACAUCGAUAUGUCUUGCGACACACUGAUGAGCUUGAUGAUCUCCGUAGAGAAUUUGUGUAUCAAGAGAAGAGGAAACCGGGUAACUUAAAUUUGACGGAUGAUGACAAUGAGGAUUUGAUUAGUAGACACUUUGCUGACUGGUUGGAACAAAAGAUGAUGGACCGGAUAUCACAGAAAAGAUAAGAGCAUUAGCCGCAAAACCAAGCAAAUGUGGGGUGCGCUACAGUGGCUAUAUAAUUAAUGGUUUCAGGUUUCAUACUAUCAGCCGCGAUACAGGACGUGUGACACAAAAUAGUGGUGUCGUGAACCUUGCUGAAAAUGGUGUGUCCUAUUAUGGCCGGUUAUCUGACAUCUUCGAAUUGUCAUACAGAGAUUACAAGGUGUUGUUCUUCAAAUGUGAUUGGUAUGAUGUUCAUCACAAAGCUGGUAUUGUAAGAGAUGAGUUUGGAUUCACUCAUGUGAACUUCUCCCAAAAAUACAUAUAGGGGAGAAGUUAGAGGAUGAUCCUUUUGUAUUUUCUUCCCAUGUGGACCAGGUCUUUUAUAUCCAACAUCCGAGAAGUGAGAAUUGGAAUACCAUGGUGAAAUUCAAACCUCGUUAUAUUUUUGACAUGGGUGGAGAACCAUCUUCAAAUGAAACAGACUAAUCUUUGCGCUUUCAGCUUGUUAUGGGCAGCUAAGAUAUAGGUUGAGCACUUGUCAUCCAUGCUCCUAGGUAGAGUUACUCCAACAUAAUUAUUGCAGCUGGGUGGAUCUUCUUCAGAAUGUAUUGAUCCCUGUGUUACUUUGUAAUGAACGAGCCUAUGGUCUUUUUUAGUGUGUAUGUUCCCUUUUGUUA